rnacentral:rRNA from 1 species
AUGGAGCACGGACGAGAUGAGCAAGCAGAAGAGGUGUUGGGGGACAUAAUCUUAGCCGGAGGUGAUAUCUUGUCAUAUCUUAACGACAAUGAUGGUCUGGAAGAACAGGGUGAAGAAGCUGGCUGCGGUGAUCGAAGAGUGGAGGAGGAAAGACAUGAUUAUGAUGGCUCCGGUGACCCAAUGCUGGUGCAAGAAGGAGCCCGUGGUGACGGCUCCGGUGACCGAACAGAGUCCGGCCAGCCCUCCGGAUCGAGCACAACUGCGGUAAAGAGACGAGGCCCGAAGAGAAAGUUGCGCUCGGAUGAAAGGUUUGAGAUCACAGCAAUCGCGCGCGACGGCCAACCGAUUGAACCCCUCCGGACAAAGGAUGCUUUUGCUGCUCAGUGCGGGGUUCUAGUUAGGGAUAAGAUCCCGAUCAGCAUCCACCAAUGGUAUAAGCCUAAGAAGGAAGACCCUGAGGUGUCUUAUGUCAAUGAUAUGCAGAAAGAUGAUCUUUGGACUGAGCUGAAGGGAAAUUUCACCCUACCGCCAGAGGAGGAUCCGGAGAAGCCAGUUAUAGAGCAAUUAAUCAAGUCUCAUGCUCUUAAGAAGAUGGCAGACCUAUUCAGGAGGUGGAAGAAUGAGCUGAAAACGUUUGUCGACAAAGAAGAGACACCUGAAUUCAUCGGCCGGUAUGAGAAGAUCAGAGAUCACUGGCCCGCAUUUGUGGCCCACAAGACAUCGGAAAAGAGUAAGAAGAUGUCAGCGACAAACAAGAUGAAUGCUGCGAAGAAGAAGCUUCACCAUCGCACUGGGUCAGGUGGCUACCUCAAAGCCCGGCCUAAGUGGGCCAAGUCUGAGAGGGAUCUGCUUGAUAAAGGGAUCGAACCACAGACAAUGAACUGGCCAGACCGUUGCCGGACUUGGUUCUUCGGGGCUGGCAGAACCUUGGACCCUGUAUCAGGGAGGUGUCGUUGGAUGGACGAGCAACUUGCAAUACCCGUCAAGAAGAUUCAGCACUAUAUCGAUGCAGUGCAGCAAGGGACGUUCGUUCCAGACAGAGAGAACGACGAGCUCACAAUGGCCCUCGGGAAUCCUGAGCACCCUGGACGGACACGAGGCACGCCAGGCUCCGUUCCAUGGAAGGCUGGUUUUCCGGACGCGGGCGGUUACAAAACCCAGGAGAGGAGGAAAAAAGUGGAGCAGAUCCAAAUUCAGCGUCUGCACGAAAGGGUUCAAGUGCUAGAGGAACGAGACGGCAAUAGAGAUGCCGAAACUGCCCCCGAAGCUACACCGCCAUCUCAGCGUAGAAGCAGCGUGGCUUCCACCGAGCUGCCUCAGCUGGAGCAUGCGGCCACUCCUAGCUACCCCGUGGAUGCUAUCACGGAGUCUCAACAUUGCCACCUUAUGGCGGAAUGGCAGAACUUGAAAGUCAAGGCGGCUGUUGGCUCUGUUUUACCUACUGAACCCGACGCAACCUACCACUGCCGGCAGAUUCCAGAAGGAUAUGCUAGGGUGAUGGUGGAUGAAAUAAUGGAGGGAUUUGAGGACCUCCAGCUUGACCACCCUACCGGUGAAGGGGAGACGCGGCUGGGUUUAGCUCUAAAGACUCCAUGCCUAUGGCGGAAGGAGCUCAUCAAGCUUCCGAACUGGACGGCUCCGGUGAGUAAGGGCACUCCGCCUCCUCCUCAGGCGAGUGAUCAGGGCACUCAGCCUCCUUCUCCGGCGCGUGGCGGCACUCCGCCUCCUCCUCCGGCGAGUGAUCAGGGCACUCAGCCUCCUUCUCCGGCGCGUGGCGACACUCCGCCUCCUUCUCCGCCAGCGCCGGCGCGCCAGAGCAGCCAGCCUCCUCCUUCUCCGCCUCAUCAGCAAGGGCGGAAGAGACCCGCCGCCGCUGCGGCUGCUCCGGCGCGUCGUAGUCCUUCUCCUCCGCCUCGUAAGCAAGGAAAGAAGACAACUGCAGCCACUCUGUCUGCUCUGCCGGCGUCUAGCAGUACAGCUGCCAGAGGCGGGAGGCAAUACAGAUUCGGUCCUUCUCUGAAGACUCCAGAGAAGUUACCAUAUGAGAGGACCGAGGAGGAGAACGCGAAGAUCGUGCGAGCCGAAGUGAAGAACUUCUUUGAAGGGGACAAAGCAAAGAAACAUCCACCUCCGGAGGAGAAGGUAGAUCCGGUGAAAGCAAAGCGCACUCUGGCUGCCCUGACAAAACCACCAAAGUCUCUGCCAAAAUGCAACUAUGAGCGCGUUCUUGCAAAGGCAUAUGCCGAAGCGGAGCGGUCGGGAAGUACUGUCAGUGAUAAAAGGAUGAAAGAACGACGAGCUGGGAAAAAAAUUGCCCAGCUCGGCGAACAAGAGAACCAAUCGUGCCCCCCGCUCAAGGUGUCAAAAGACAUCGUCGCUAAUGAUCCGGGUAUGGUGCCCGGUUAUACCGAUCUUGGAGAUUACCUGCCCGACGAUGUACAUUAUGAAAUCAUGGAGGUGGACGAACACAAAUACCAUUACGGGAAGCCUCUCGUCAAAGAUGUCAAAUCUCUAAGCAUGAUGAUGCGAAGACUACAUGAUUGGUACAUGAAAACCUGCAGAGAGUCUGAUGGGAUGAGUACUUUCACGCUGAGAGUUAAACCGGAGCAUGACCUCGUUGGAAUUGAACUGCUGAAUGUUCCAUUUGAGGAUUUCUUCCAGUUUUACAAUCUAAAGUCCCUCGAUAAAACAACGAUCACUUGCUACUGUCUAUUGAAGAUCGCCGAAUUGAAGAAAAGACAAAUCGGUGAUAUUGGGUUCAUUAACACAAAUCUCAUAGAUGAUUAUCAGGUUAAAUUUCAUGCCAAAGAUACCGAGGCCAACUUGCUACAAUCGUUGGUAAUAAAUCAAAACAAAGAUAUAAUACUCUUUCCUUACAACUUCAACUUCCACUAUAUUCUCCUAGAGAUUAAGCUUGAGCCGGGAGUAGUAACCGUCUUAGACUCGAGACGAAAAGAUCCCCAGGACUAUGCGAACAUGACUCAAAUGCUCCAGAAGGUUUGGAGAAAAUUCACCUCAAAAGCCCCGGGACUGCCGAGCCAGCUGCAAUUUAGACACCCGAAAUGGUUGUGGCAGCAACCCGGGAAUAAUUACUGUGGAUACUACAUUUGCGAGUCCAUCCGCUACCAUACCUGUGAGCGGGGCUACACUGAAGAACAAUAUGAAAUUUUUCGGAAGCGGGAUCAACUCCUAGCACCAGAUCGUAUGCGAGGAAUUCAAGAGGAAUUGGCGGCAUUCUUCCUUGACCACGUGAUCGCUGAAAACGGAGAAUACUAUGUGGACCCUGUGUUCCUACAAUAUAAUUAG